rnacentral:lncRNA from 1 species
AUAAAACGUACUUUUCACAAGUCCAAGGACCAUGUCACGUGUUAACGCGGUUUCCAUGAGUUUAGAACUCAUGACCCACGAUCCAAGAUCCACCAUAGGACCUAUCGCCGCCGCAUGCAGCACGGCGGUGGAGCGGAGAAGAUCGGAGGUGGGGACAGAGGCAAAGAGACGGGCUUGGUCGGACAGAUCGAUGUCAUUGUGAGCUUCGUUUGGUUUUGGGUGGGGGACAGGUGGCUCUGGCGCUUGUUGUCCGAAGGAGAGUAUCUCCGGGACGACUGCGGUUGAAGCUGUCACGGUGGGCUGACCCACCGGGCUCAAAGCGGAGAAACGGUAAGGACGACGGAUAAAGUUUGUUCGGAGGAGACGGGCUGCCAUAAAAUUCAAAGAUGUUCUUGAUAAAACGAAAAAUAAAAUUGUUUUUCUUCUCCUCUAAUGUUUCUUAGGCUUCUCGCUUUUAUCGCUUUUCUUUUCUUCUCUCAACGCUUUGUUGUGUGAUUGAUGUCUCCUCCUCUGUUACUGCCACACAUAUUUAUAGAAGAGUAUAAAACUAUAUGCAUAUAUACACGUUUUACGUGUUCCAUAUAAUAGGAUUGUGAUAAAAUUAAAUCAUCUAAAAUUACAACGGAAUCUUUAUAAAGAAAGUCAAAUUCUUAAAUUUAACUCAACAAUAUAUGUUACCAUAAUAAUUACGGACGACAGAGACAGCCAGGCACUGACUAUAAGAUGAGUCAUUGGAUAAGUAUUAAAUUGAUAUUAUAUGAUGACUUUAUUGUUUUUAAAAUUGAAAUAGGAAAUUUCUAGAGAGACGGUGGAGGAAGAUAUGAAGGAUGAGUGGAUGGUGACUCGGAUACAACGCGAGGACCUGGACUUGUUCUUUGAAUCUUUGACUUUUCUAUAUUGGAAUCUCCGGAAUCUUAGUGUUAACUAAUUUGAAUUAAUCAGUAAAUAUUCUCUCCUAAUAAAAGUAAGUAGUUAAAAAUAGAUUUGAAGUUAAAAAAUUUACUUUAGACCAUCUCCAAUGUAUUUUUCUAUUUUUUCCUCUAAAAUAGAAGAACUCUAUAAUAGAGAUAGAUUUGUCUCCAAUGUAUUCUUCUAUUUCUUCUUCUAAAAAGGAAUAUUCUUGAUAUAUUAUUUUCUAAUUUUACAAAUAGUAUUUUUUAUUUGUGAAAGUUAAAAACCAACCCAAUUUAGUUUAACAUUCAUAAAAUUAUGAUAUUAUUUACACUGAAUAUUUUUAUAGAAACUAUUAUGUAAAUAAAAAGUAUGAUUAUAUGUUUAUAUAAACAGUACAUUUUCACUAAAAAAUAUUUAUUUUGGUUAUAAUUGUUAAAAUAAAAAGUUAUUGGAUCAUUUUGUGAAUAAAAAAAGUAUGCUUCUAUUAUAGAGGAAUGCUAUUUCUUCUUCUAAAUAUAGAGGUGAAAAUAGCAAUCUCUAUUUUAGAGGAAUAUAUAGAGUAAGGUUUGAGUGAUUUUACCUCUAAAUGCUAUUAUAGAAGCAAAUAUAGAGGUGGGUUGGAGAUGCUCUUAGCACAACCUCGAUUUUGAUUCACCCAUUAUUUUCUUUUUAUGCACUAACUAAAUUGUAAAAUACUAGUACUAGUUUAUUAAAAAAUGUAGAAUAUACUAUUUUAUUUGUUAACAGCUAAUUCGUUUAUGCAUGUGGUUUUUAAAAUAUCAGAUUUAUCUACCCUACAAAUUUCAGCAAAUACAUUUUUUUCCUUUUGUUACAUGAUAUUCUGUCUAAUAUCAUGUUAUUUGUCUGAAUCUUGAAAAACAUACAUCUUUAUUUACAGUUUUUUCUAGUCUUGCCCAUAAUUUUCGGUCUCUCACCAAGAAGCUUUUAUAAUAGCGCUUGUGAGAAUUUUUUAUUAUAGUUGAUCUUCCACUGUUAAUUAAAUUAACUCGUUAUUACUUUAUUCUUCCAACCCAAACCACUUGACGCAAAAGUGAAGACGAAGAACCAACCAAAGCUAAUAAGAUACAAAUAUACAACCGUACCUUUUCAAAAAGUUUCAAUACAGAGAAUCUUUGACAGAAGCAGAUCUUUACAAAAACAUAAAAGCAAUGAAAACCAAGUGAGCGGGACCCAUCCGUCCCCCAAAAAUGGCAGUGCUACCAAGUUUUGGCAAAAUGAUAAAACAAAAAAAAAAGUAGUUUAUUGAGGAAUUUGAGCCGUUAGAUUUUGAGAGGCGAGAAGGUGAGAGGGUCACGUGAGGAAGUAAAGAGGUUAGGUGAGCAUUGGACACGAAAGUCGCCAGCUGUAGCCGCCAUUUUCAUUGGUCCAUCCCAACCUUUCAUGCAAUAUUCACUUUAUAUUUCAAAAACAGUAACUUUUUGAUAAAGAAGUUAUUUCAAAACAAUAACGCAAAAUGAAAUGAAGCUCAUUUGUAUUUUCUUUUGUAUGCUGAAAUGUGUCUUUUGUUUUUUUGGUAAAAAUGUGUCUUUUGUUGAUCCUGUAAAUAUGAGACUUUGAGGGUCCUGCUUUUAAAAUCUAGUUUGACGUGUAAAUCAGACUGCAUUAUUGGUUUCUUGGGUUACUUUUGCUGGUAAUAAGUACUCAAGUAAACUGUUCAAUCCCAUCUUCAUCAAAUCAAAUAAUUGAUACAGAAACCGACCCAAUUUGUCAAUAUGACCAAAAUUGAGUUUAUAUAUCUAAAUAAACAAAUCUCAACUAGAGCUUGAUUCGCGAAUAUUUUAUUUUAUUUUUAUAGACAAAUAUAUUUUGUAUAAAUGGUAAUAUGAAUUUUAAAAUUUAUCCGCAUUAAAAAAUUGUUAAACAUGACAUUUCUAAAUACAAUAAUAUAUAGUUUAUAUUGGAAAUUCUUUUUUUUUAAACCGUCAAUUAUAUCAUCUACAUUCUUAGAAUUUGACCUAUGCAUCCACACAAAUAUAUUUCUAUUUUUUACAAAUCAAAAUUUAAUGUAUGAUAAAAUUGGUAUAUAUAACUAUUAAAAUUUGUUGAUAUAUAUUUUAUAAUCUUCUACAUUUAUCAUAUUAAAUUUAUAUUGGGUUUUUAUUUACAUGAAAUAUAUGUAAAUUAUAUAUUUACAUAUUAAUUUAUAUAUUAUUUAUAUAUUAUAUAAAUAACUUCUUACAUGGCUUUAAGUUUUUAGUUAUUAUUAAUAAAUAGUAAGAAAUAUAACUAAUCUUUAAAAUAAAUUUUGUUUAAAUUUAGUAAAUGAAUAGUUAAAUCGAUUUAGAUGGCUUUGUGGUUGUUUUUAUCAUUUUUAUUAAUAAUAUAGCUUUAGCAUAUCUAAAACGAUUUUUUCUCAUGGUUUAUUUUUUAGCUAAAUAAAUAUAGCUUUAGUUGUUUUUAUCAUAAUUAUUAAAUAGUUAUUUUAAAUUUUUGUUUUAACAUUAACUAUUUUGAAGAUCAAUUUAAGAAUUUUUUAUGGUUCUUUUAACUAAUAAUAAGACAAUAAAUGCUAAAAGUUAAGUUUAGGGAGUUUCUUAAUUGCAUUAGAAUAUAAUUAAGUAAUUACUUUAAUAAUAUAGAUAUGAACUAAACAGUUCCAAAAUUAUGAUUCAUAUAAAAAUACUUUUUAGUCUUGUUUGAUCUUUAAAAUAGAAAAUAAAACCUUUUUGUAUCAAAAGAAAAUUAAACUUUUCAAAAUGAGAUAAAAGGCAAACAACCGCCAUGCUACAUUACAAUUUAAAGGGGUAAAUUUGAUAAUUUAUUUGUUCGGACCAGUAGAAUAACUCAUGUGUGUAAAAGAAAUCUGAAAUAUUGAACCGAACCAAAUCAACUAAACCAAACUGAACUAAAAUUUCAGUUAAUUCGGUGAGAAUUUCGGUUUGAUUCGACAGAAUUAUAAAAAAUAAAAUUUGGUUUUCGAUCCGGAAACAAGUUAGUUCGAUGUAUUUUAAAAAAAUUAACCAAAUUUCAAACCGAACUAAUAGAAUCAACCAAAAUUUUGAAUUGAAAUAAUCAAACUAACCAAAAUUAUCUGAAUUCAACAGAAUUUUUAACAGAAUUUUAACCAAAAUUUUGGUUAUUUCCAGUAAAAUUGUUUAAAAUUAAGUUACCCAAAUAUCAAUCCAAAAUUUUUCUGGUUCAAUUUGGCGAUAUUUUGCUCAAACCAAACUAUCUGAAUUUUAACUAUCACUACAAAAAAACACGGGCCUAACGACUACAAAAUCAGUUGUUAAGUUGUCGUAAUACAUUGAUUACGACAAACUAACUACGACUACGAAAUGGUUGUUAGCGACUCGUCGUAAUUGACGAUUCGUCGUAAAGGAGACAUAAUCCUCACGACUGACACAUGACGUCGUAAUAUAGACGUAAAACAAUUCAUCGUAAAGGAGACGUAACUUUAUGUCCUUUACAGAAGUCGUUUAUUGGACGUAACACUUUGAUAAUUAUGUCGUCGUAAAUAUUACGACGAAUAAACAUCGACAACUGUUGUUAAAAGGUCGCAAUAUUUACGACUAUAUUACAUCGCAUUUCGAUGUUAAUUGGUCAUAUUUUUUACGACCAGAUUACGUCGUAUAUUAUAUAAUAUAAUAUAAAAUAUAUGUAUUUGUAAUAUCAAUAAUUUAAAAUAUUAAAAAAUUGAGAUAAAAUUUCAAAAUAUUUUUAAAUUUGGAAAAUUCAUACACAAAAUAUAAUAUAUCAUAAAACAUCCAAAAUGUUAUAAUAUCGAAAAUAGAAAACAUUAAUACAUAACCGAAAGAAAAUCUAAUUAUCAAGGUUGAUGUCGUCAAAGAUCUCGGCACUGUGGUGAAUGGACCGUUGCUCCAAUUCCGCCUGCUCUUCUGGAGUGGGAUUGGGAUUAAUGGUUGGACGUACAUUUUGCCACAUCGCUGCAAGAGCUGGGUUUGUGUCUGCAAGAACAUCGAACAUCCCCGCGAUGGACCUAAGGCGGGUUCUGCUGGCCUGGUUGUCUGCCCGGAGCUCUGAAAUGACUUGGUUGGCAGCUGUCAAAUCUGUCUGGAGCUGCGAAUCGUCAUGCAUUCUCGCCACAUAUUCAGCUCUUGCCCUCGGGACAUCGUUAACCGUACCGAUCCCGACCAUCCGUCCCCUUUUCUUCGGGACAAUCUUAAAUUAAUGAAAUGAAUAUUAGUACAUAUAUAAAACUAAAAAAAUAAAAUGUGUAUAAAAUAUAUUAAAAAGAUUGAAAAUUAUUCCUGUUCAAAUUUUUUUGUCUUGUUCGACGGUAGACAACUGAACCGGUUCAGCUUCGGGAUUUUGUUGGGACAGUUGUGUCUGGACCUCCUGUAUCCGAGUCUCGACAUCUUUGUAGAUCCUUUCCACCUCAGGAUGCACAAACGUCCCAUCAGAAUGCUGGUGUGUCGUCUUAUAAAGCAGGGACAGAGAUGGUGGUGCUACUUCUUGAGCCGCCUACAAAAAAAAUUAAAUUAAUUAAUUUCAUGNNNNNNNNNNNNNNNNNNNNNNNNNNNNNNNNNNNNNNNNNNNNNNNNNNNNNNNNNNNNNNNNNNNNNNNNNNNAUCAAUAAAGACACAUGAGGAUUGCUUACGUGAGAUGUUGGUAACGAUUUGGCAGCUUCAAUGGUUCGAAGGAAAUGGUGCAUGUUAUCAUCGCAAGAGGCAGCAUCAUCGGCGUGUUCAACGCCGUACACAAGCAUACCUUUAAGACCCGUAGCCUCGUAAACACUUCUUACGCGCUGCGCGGCUGCGUCAGCGUCUUCACCGGCGCAGAAAUGGUCAUAAAACGUACUUUUCACAAGUCCAAGGACCAUGUCACGUGUUAACGCGGUUUCCAUGAGUUUAGAACUCAUGACCCACGAUCCAAGAUCCACCAUAGGACCUAUCGCCGCCGCAUGCAGCGCGGCGGUGGAGCGGAGAAGAUCGGAGGUGGGGACAGAGGCAAAGAGACGGGCUUGGUCGGACAGAUCGAUGUCAUUGUGAGCUUCGUUUGGUUUUGGGUGGGGGACAGGUGGCUCUGGCGCUUGUUGUCCGAAGGAGAGUAUCUCCGGGACGACUGCGGUUGAAGCUGUCACGGUGGGCUGACCCACCGGGCUCAAAGCGGAGAAACGGUAAGGACGACGGAUAAAGUUUGUUCGGAGGAGGCGGGCUGCCAUAAAAUUCAAAGAUGUUCUUGAUAAAACGAAAAAUAAAAUUGUUUUUCUUGUCUUUUGAUGUUUCUUAGGCUUCUCGCUUUUAUCGCUUUUCUUUUCUUCUCUCAACGCUUUGUUGUGUGAUUGAUGUCUCCUCCUUUGUUACUGCCACACAUAUUUAUAGAAGAGUAUAAAACUAUAUGCAUAUACAUACACGUUUUACGUGUUCGAUAUAAUAGGAUUGUGAUAAAAUUAAAUCAUCUAAAAUUACAACGGAAUCUUUAUAAAGAAAGUCAAAUUCUUAAAUUUAACUCAACAAUAUAUGUUACCAUAAUAAUUACGGACGACAGAGACAGCCAGGCACUG